AGCGCAGGCGGUUUUUUAAAGUCUGAUGUGAAAGCCCUUGGCUCGACCAAGGAAGUGCAUCGGAAACUGGAGAACUUGAGUGCAGAAGAGGACAGUGGAACUCCAUGUGUAGCGGUGAAAUGCGUAGAUAUAUGGAAGAACACCAGUGGCGAAGGCGGCUGUCUGGUCUGUAACUGACGCUGAGGCUCGAAAGCAUGGGUAGCGAACA
rnacentral:rRNA from 1 species